CCUACGGGUGGCAGCAGUGGGGAAUUUUGGACAAUGGGCGCAAGCCUGAUCCAGCUAUUCCGCGUGUGGGAUGAAGGCCCUCGGGUUGUAAACCACUUUUGUAGAGAACGAAAAGACACCUUUUAAUAAAGGGUGUUGCUGACGGUACUCUAAGAAUAAGCAUCGGCUAACUACGUGCCAGCAGCCGCGGUAAUACGUAGGGUGCGAGCGUUAAUCGGAUUUAUGGGGCGUAAAGGGUGCGCAGGCGGUUGAGUAAGACAGAGGUGAAAUCCCGGAGCUUAACUCGGGAAUGGCAUAUGUGACUGUGCGGCUAGAGUGUGUCAGAGGGAGGUGGAAUGCCACGUGUAGCAGUGAAAUGCGUAGAUAUGUGGAAGAACACCGAUGGCGAAGGCAGCCUCCUGGGACAUAACUGACGCUGAGGCACGAAAGCGUGGGGAGCGAACAGGAUUAGAUACCCCUGUAGUC
rnacentral:rRNA from 1 species